rnacentral:rRNA from 1 species
UACGAAGGGGGCUAGCGUUGCUCGGAAUCACUGGGCGUAAAGCGCACGUAGGCGGCUUUUUAAGUCAGGGGUGAAAUCCUGGAGCUCAACUCCAGAACUGCCUUUGAUACUGAGAAGCUUGAGUCCGUGAGAGGUGAGUGGAACUGCGAGUGUAGAGGUGAAAUUCGUAGAUAUUCGCAAGAACACCAGUGGCGAAGGCGGCUCACUGGCCCGGUACUGACGCUGAGGUGCGAAAGCGUGGGGAGCAAACAGG